rnacentral:rRNA from 1 species
AGAAUGAACGUUGGCGGCGUGGAUUAGGCAUGCAAGUCGGACGGGCCGCAAGGCCAGUGGCGCAAGGGUGAGUAAGGCGACGGUAACCAACCCCGCGGGUGGGCAUAGCCGAGGGAAACUUCGGGUAAUUCCCAGCGAUGCGGCGACCCGGCAUCGGGACGCCGCCAAAGAUUCAUCGCCGCGGGACGGGCCGUCGUGGUAUUAGCUGGUUGGUGGGGUGACGGCCCACCAAGGCUGCGAUGCCUACCGGGCGUGCGAGCGUGGCCCGGCACACUGGGACUGAGACACUGCCCAGACUCCUACGGGAGGCUGCAGUCGAGAAUCUUCGGCAAUGGGCGCAAGCCUGACCGAGCGACGCCGCGUGGAGGACGAAGGCCUUCGGGUUGUAAACUCCUGUCGAGGGGGAGGAAGCCGCGAAGGUUGACCGGAUCCCGUGGAGGAAGCACGGGGCUAAGUUCGCGCCAGCAGCCGC